AUUGAACGCUGGCGGCAGGCCUAACACAUGCAAGUCGAACGGUAACAGGAAGAAGCUUGCUUCUUUGCUGACGAGUGGCGGACGGGUGAGUAAUGUCUGGGAAACUGCCUGAUGGAGGGGGAUAACUACUGGAAACGGUAGCUAAUACCGCAUAACGUCGCAAGACCAAAGAGGGGGGCCUUCGGGCCUCUUGCCAUCGGAUGGGCCCAGAUGGGAUUAGCUAGUAGGUGGGGUAACGGCUCACCUAGGCGACGAUCCCUAGCUGGUCUGAGAGGAUGACCAGCCACACUGGAACUGAGACACGGUCCAGACUCCUACGGGAGGCAGCAGUGGGGAAUAUUGCACAAUGGGCGCAAGCCUGAUGCAGCCAUGCCGCGUGUAUGAAGAAGGCCUUCGGGUUGUAAAGUACUUUCAGCGGGGAGGAAGGGAGUAAAGUUAAUACCUUUGCUCAUUGACGUUACCCGCAGAAGAAGCACCGGCUAACUCCGUG
rnacentral:rRNA from 1 species